AGAGUUUGAUCCUGGCUCAGAACGAACGCUGGCGGCGUGGUUAAGACAUGCAAGUCGUACGAACAAACCAAUUGAGUAAUCAAGAGGUGAGUUAGUGGCGAAAGGGUGAGUAAUGCGUAGGUAACGUACCCCGGACUUUGGGAUAGCAGCGGUCUUCGGACCUUUAGCGAAAGUGCUGGUAAUACCGAAUGAUAUCAUGAUGUCGUAUGGCAUUUUGAUCAAAGGUUUCGGCUGGUCUGGGAGCGGCCUACGUCGUAUCAGCUUGUUGGUGAGGUAACGGCUCACCAAGGCAGCGACGCGUAGCGGGACUGAGAGGUUGGCCCGCCACAUCGGGACUGAGACACUGCCCGGACCCCCACGGGGGGCUGCAGUAACGAAUAUUGCGCAAUGGACGAAAGUCUGACGCAGCGACGCCGCGUGUAGGAUGAAGUCCUUCGGGAUGUAAACUACUGACAGGGUGAAGAAAGGCUUCGGCUUGAUCGAUCCCAGAGGAAGCCACGGCUAACUUCGUGCCAGCAGCCGCGGUAAUACGAAGGUGGCAAGCGUUGUUCGGAAUCACUGGGCUUAAAGAGCACGUAGGCGGAAGGUUAAGUGUUUUGUGAAAUCCCUCGGCUUAACCGAGGAACUGCUUGACAUACUGGCCUUCUUGAGGCAGGCAGGGGCGCGUGGAACUCUAGGUGGAGCGGUGAAAUGCGUAGAUAUCUAGAGGAACGCCAGUGGUGAAGACGGCGCGCUGGACCUGAUCUGACGCUGAGGUGCGAAAGCGUGGGGAGCAAAAAGGAUUAGAUACCCUUGUAGUCCACGCUGUAAACGAUGUCUACUAGGUCGUGGGAGUUCUGACGCUUUCACGGCCGGAGCAAAAGUAUUAAGUAGACCGCCUGGGGAGUACGGUCGCAAGGCUAAAACUCAAAGGAAUUGACGGGGGCUCACACAAGCGGUGGAGCAUGUGGCUUAAUUCGAAGCAACGCGAAGAACCUUAUCCUGGGUUUGACAUGUUUGGAUGCUCUUGGUGAAAGCCAAGUAGGCUGCCUUCGGGUGAAACUUACACAGGUGCUGCAUGGCUGUCGUCAGCUCGUGUCGUGAGAUGUUGGGUUAAGUCCCUUAACGAGCGAAACCCCUAUCGUUAGUUACCAGCGCGUAAUGGCGGGGACUCUAGCGAGACUGCCGGUGUCAAACCGGAGGAAGGUGGGGAUGACGUCAAGUCCUCAUGGCCUUUAUGCCCAGGGCUGCACACGUGCUACAAUGGCGACUACAAAGCGACGCGAUACCGUGAGGUGGAGCAAAUCGCAAAAAAGUCGCCCCAGUUCGGAUUGUAGGCUGCAACUCGCCUACAUGAAGUCGGAAUCGCUAGUAAUCGCGGAUCAGCAAUGCCGCGGUGACUAUGUUCCUGAGCCUUGUACACACCGCCCGUCAAGUCACGGAAGCUGGGAGUACUUGAAGUCGGGUAGCUAACCUUCGGGAGGCGCCUGCCGAUGGUAAGCCCGGUAACUGGGGCUAAGUCGUAACAAGGUA
rnacentral:rRNA from 1 species